UCUUCAUGAUUGAUAAGAAUUCAUCAUAGCUACGUUCAGACAGCACACUGAAGUGGCCCAAAUCCGAUUUUUUUGGCCCUAUGUGACCUGUAUCUGAUCUUUUCAUUACAGUCUGAACAGCACAGAUCGGAUUUUUUCAAAUCCGAUCCAGGCCACUUGGGUAUGUGGUCCCAAUUGCGAUACAUAUCUGAUCUUUUGCCAUGCGACUACAGUCUGAACGGCCAGGUCGCAUUUAUCCGACCUAUGCAUCAUCAUUAUGUGACGAACGUUACUAUUCUGCGCCCGACACGGCACAAGCGGGAAGAAACAAC